GGACCACAGCAGAUAUGCCAAGAACCUCAGUCCUACAACCAGCCAGAGACAUUUUCCCAUAGCAACCCGAUUCUCCUUGGAGGAUUUCCAAGUCUUCAACCCCAGUACUUCCUUGGGCGUUUCGAGGGAUGCGCCUGCAGGGCACGUAUUACUGGGUUAUGAUUUUGAAAGACUUAAGCAGAGGAUACACAUCCUUACAAGCCUUCAAUGUUCUUCCUGCAGCUUUUUGGAAAUGGGUGUCACCCAUUGAAGUGGAACGAUUAUCUGGAUAAGGAAGAACACCUCCAAAAAAUGCUGUUCAUGCUACAGCUUACCUAACACAUACUUUGUUAUCAAGACAAAUCCUAAAUUACACACCCAAGUAAGUGAUGGAGGAUUACAGACUCAGGAGACUCUAUGCAAGGGAGCAUAGCCCAGCCACUCCAAUGUCUGAAUCAUGGAGCUUCACAUUGAUUCUACCUUACAUAAACUCAGUGUUUAUUGGUAAUACAGAGGCAAAAGGUGAAGACUCCAAGGCUGAUGCAAAGCAAACAUAUUGUAGCUGAGACUGAAUGUUAGAGUAAACGGUGUCCUGUGGUGACAAAGCACAUGGACAGUGGGCCAAGGACAUGCAGACAAACUCAACUCGAGGGCAGGAUGCUGCUACUGCCAUGUUUAUCCCCUCAACACCCAAGCCGGAGUAUGAGUUCCUAGUCUUGUUCACAUCUAUCUCCCUGUGCCCGAAGAGCUCAACGCUGAGCAGGUGCACAAGAGAUAUUCAUUAAGCAAGAUGAAUUAAAUUGGCUAGUUUGUCAGCUCACUUUUAUUACUGUGGAGACAGCCAGCCAGCCAACGUGUAAAACACAUUUUGGGUUUAGAAGCAAUAAGCAGCUGCA